GAUGAACGCUGGCGGUAUGCUUAACACAUGCAAGUCGAACGGGGUGCAUAGUCACCUAGUGGCGGACGGGUGAGUAACGCGUGAGAAUCUGGCCUCAGGUCCGGGACAACCACGGGAAACGGUGGCUAAUACCGGAUGUGCCAUAUUGGUGAAAGAUUAAUUGCCUGAGGAUGAGCUCGCGUCUGAUUAGCUAGUUGGUGGGGUAAAGGCUUACCAAGGCGACGAUCAGUAACUGGUCUGAGAGGAUGACCAGUCACACUGGGACUGAGACACGGCCCAGACUCCUACGGGAGGCAGCAGUGGGGAAUUUUCCGCAAUGGGCGAAAGCCUGACGGAGCAAUAACGCGUGAGGGAGGAAGGCUCUUGGGUUGUAAACCUCUUUUCUCAGGGAAGAAGAAUGACGGUACCUGAGGAAUCAGCAUCGGCUAACUCCGUG
rnacentral:rRNA from 1 species